AGGGUUUGAUCAUGGCUCAGAACGUACGCUGGCGGCACGCCUAACACAUGCAAGUCGAACGCAGUAGCAAUACUGAGUGGCGAACGGGUGAGUAUAAUGUAGGUAUCUGCCUUUUGGUUUGGAAUAACACGAGGAAACUUGUGCUAAUACCGGAUAAGCCUUCACAGGGAAAGUUUUAACGCCAAAAGAUGAGCCUGCACUUGAUUAGCUAGUUGGUAAGGUAAUGGCUUACCAAGGCUACGAUCAAUAGCUGAUCUGAGAGGAUGAUCAGCCACAUUGGGACUGAGACACGGCCCAAACUCCUACGGGAGGCAGCAGUGGGGAAUUUUGCACAAUGGGGGAAACCCUGAUGCAGCGAUGCCGCGUGAGUGAAGAAGGCCUUUGGGUUGUAAAGCUCUUUCGUCGGGGAAGAAAAUGACUGUACCCGAAUAAGAAGGUCCGGCUAACUUCGUGCCAGCAGCCGCGGUAAUACGAAGGGACCUAGCGUAGUUCGGAAUUACUGGGCUUAAAGAGCUCGUAGGUGGUUAGAAAAGUUGGUGGUGAAAUCCCAAGGCUUAACCUUGGAACUGCCACUAAAACUUUUUGACUAGAGUAUGAUAGAGGAAAGUGGAAUUUCUAG
rnacentral:rRNA from 1 species